AGUGGAAAAGUAAGUCCUUAUGUAAUGUAUUUAUUUUCCUCCUCUUCUGGUCAGGAACUGUACCUGGCUUCUUACCACAUUGCCACUAGGUAACAUAAUAGGAAUGCAUAGUGCUUCCGAAGUGUUCACUGAAUGACGAAAAGAAUGAAUAACUGCAAGCAAGAAAACAGUUCCUCGAAGCUUGUAAAAGAUUCUGGGUAUUGUCAGAGUUAUAGAAAUCGAUGACACCGAUUCUGGUUUGUUUCAUUGUAAUGGAACACCAGACUUCCAUUUCCUUGAACCUGGACGCCUUAUGCACUGAUAGACUACACUAGAUUUGUUUGGGUGGAAGGGGAGAGAAAAGAAGUGAAAGUUGAAGAGAAAAGUGAAUGGAAUUUUUCUUAGCAGAAAGAAGUGCCUGUGUGGUCUACAUCUUUAUUCGUCAAGUACUCAUUUUGAAAACAUAUCAUCAGAAGAGAAAUAUGGGGAAAAAAAUAAAAAUUAUGUUUUAUAUAUGAAAAUAAAAUUUUUGCUAGCCUUGCUUUUCGUUACAGAUUUAAGUGUUAAGUACAGACUAAAUAUAAAUGUGUUGUAAUGAUUAAUGAGUGCUUUAAUAUAUAGAAACUUCAUGUGGAAUCAUAUGUAAGGUGUGUUUCUGCAUUUCCUAUCCUAUUUUUUUCCUAUACUAUUUUUGAAUUGUCUGCCAUUACAUAAAAAAGACACAAAAUUACUGAAAGACAAGGCACAAUAAAAAUAAUAUAAUUGUGACGAGGAAGUCUGUUUUUACUGUUUCUGCA
rnacentral:lncRNA from 1 species